rnacentral:rRNA from 1 species
CAGCAGCCGCGGGAAUACGGAGGGCGCGAGCGUUACCCGGAUUUACUGGGCGUAAAGGGCGUGUAGGCGGCCUGGGGCGUCCCAUGUGAAAGGCCACGGCUCAACCGUGGAGAAGCGUGGGAUACGCUCAGGCUAGAGGGUGGGAGAGGGUGGUGGAAUUCCCGGAGUAGCGGUGAAAUGCGCAGAUACCGGGAGGAACGCCGAUGGCGAAGGCAGCCACCUGGUCCACUUCUGACGCUCAUGCACGAAAGCGUGGGGAGCAAACAGGAUUAGAUACCCCCGUAGUCCCUGUCUCUUAUAC